GAAUGGUCAAUAAGAAUGGUUGAGGUCGAAUGAUCGAGUCAAAUGUUAAGACUGAAAAAUUGACAGAGAAAUAGAGGCCAAGAGAUUUAGAUCGAAUGGUCGAGUCGAGAGGCUGAGGCUAAAUGAUUGAGGAAAAAUGGUUGAGACUGAAUGAUUAAGGUUGAAUGGUUAAGGGGAAUGGUUAAGACCGAAUGACAAAGUUGAAUGGUUGAGGUCGAAUGGUUAAGGCAGAAUGGUCAAGUUGAACGGUUAAAGUCGAACGGUUGAGAUCGAACGGGCCGAACCUAAAUGUCAAUUAAAAAUUUGAAAAAGAAAUUAAGGUCGAGAGGUUGAGGUUGAAUGUUUAAGGCCGAAAUGUCGAGCUGAAAUGUUAAGAUUAAAAAGUUGACUGAGAAAUCGAGGUUGAGAGGUUGAAGCUGAAUGGUGGAGGCGAAUGGUGGAGGCUGAAUGUUAAGACUAAAAAGUGGAUGGAGAAAUCGAGGUCGAGAGGUUGAGGUCAAAUGAUUGAGGCCAAAUGGUUGAGACCGAAUGGUUGAGAUGAAAGAUGCAUUUUUACAAAGAGGUUGAAGAGUAUUUCUGAAAAAUGUGAGGAGACCUAUAGUGAAAAUGAUGCCAUAUUAAACUAGGAGUGGUCAUGGAUUGAAUUUUUUUCAAUAUCUAAUCUAGAUCCAAUAAAAUGGAUUGGAUCUAUAAUACAAAUUUAGUUAAUCUAGUUAAAAUAUAUAUGAAUUAAAAUCUAUAUCCAUUUUAACUAGAUCAACUAAAUUUGGAUUUUUUUUCAAUCCAAUUUAAAUUGG
rnacentral:lncRNA from 1 species